rnacentral:tRNA from 1 species
GACUCAAUAGUUCAAUGGUAAGGCAUUCGCCGCAGAGCCAGAGGAUCCUGGGUUCGACCCCCCGAUGGAGUCG